rnacentral:rRNA from 1 species
AUUGAACGCUGGCGGCAGGCCUAACACAUGCAAGUCGAACGGUAACAGGAGGCAGCUUCUGCUUUGCUGACGAGUGGCGGACGGGUGAGUAAUGUCUGGGAAACUGCCUGAUGGAGGGGGAUAACUACUGGAAACGGUAGCUAAUACCGCAUAACGUCGCAAGACCAAAGAGGGGGACCUUAGGGCCUCUUGCCAUCGGAUGUGCCCAGAUGGGAUUAGCUAGUAGGUGGGGUAACGGCUCACCUAGGCGACGAUCCCUAGCUGGUCUGAGAGGAUGACCAGCCACACUGGAACUGAGACACGGUCCAGACUCCUACGGGAGGCAGCAGUGGGGAAUAUUGCACAAUGGGCGCAAGCCUGAUGCAGCCAUGCCGCGUGUAUGAAGAAGGCCUUCGGGUUGUAAAGUACUUUCAGCGGGGAGGAAGGGAGUAAAGUUAAUACCUUUGCUCAUUGACGUUACCCGCAGAAGAAGCACCGGCUAACUCCGUG